UAGAGGUGCGUGGAAAGAUUUAUUUUGAAGAAUUGCUUCAUGCAAUUUUGGAGGUUAAGAGGUCCCAGGAUCUGCUGUCAGGGAAGCUGGUGGUGGAGUGCCAGUCCAAAGCUCAGGCCUGAAACCAGGGGAGCCAAUGAUGAGACUCUCAGUCCGUGUUUGAAGGCCGGAGAACAAGAGGGUCGGUGUCCAAGGGCAGGAGAACAUGGAAGUCCCAGCCCAAGCAGAGAGCAAAUUCCUCCUUCCUCCACCUUUUUGCUCUGUUCAGGCCCUCUAUGGAUUGGAAGCAGCCCAUUCCCACAGGUGAGGGCCGUCUUUACUCAGUCCACUGAGUCAAAUGCCAUUCUCUUCCGGAAACGCCCUCCCAGAAACACCCGGAAGUAAUGUCUUACCAGCUGUCUGGGCAUCCCUUAGCAUAAAGUUGAACGUAAAAUUAGCCAUCACAGCAUCCUUACAGGUAGAAGCCAGAGGUAGCUAGCUCUCUUUCAGCCAUGUGAAGUUACAGUGAGACGUCUGCCAUAGGCAGCCCCGAGGAGGGCCCUCACUGCAAGCUAAAGGCACCUGGCUGCAAACACAAAGGGCAUUGUGACCUAAACUGCACAUCACCUACUGGGUGUAGUCAAGCUUCCAAACCAUAACGGUGGGCAUGCACAGCAGCAUCUGUCGUCUACUAAAAAGCUGUGUGUGGGAUCAGGCUCAAGCAGGCAUGCAGGGCACAGAGGAGAGAAAGCACAGACCAGAUUUGGAAUGGGUCUGCAACUCUCCCCAAGGCCCACCUGGCUGUUGACUGUUCUCAGUGCCCAAAGCAACAGAGGUAAAGACCAACACUAAUCUGUUAUGGCAUCAUGCUAUGGCAGUGCUACAAAGGACACGCUCCAUCAUGGAGGGCACUGAGCUUUGUCCUCACAGGGGUAGAUACAAACUGUGGUCUCUGAUUUGGCCUCCUGGUACUCAAUGCUUCUGUCAACUCUGCCAUUCAGGAACUUUGAAAAUGUCUCUUCUUUGGCUGUGAUAUGCUACGAAGUACUGUUGCCUAUGGGGUCAUACAUUUUAAAGCAAAGGAAGGGAGGCAAUGAGCUCACACCCGUGGAGCUCACUGAUCUUCCCAGGUGCCCCACUACACAGAGAAGUCACUGAGUGAGUUCAGCAGUCUUUCCUCUUUGUGCUUGGAUGCCUCUGGCUGGACUGGAGGCCUGAGGACAGGGCCUGGAUGUCACUGACCCGAGGUUUCCAGACGUGGACAGCACAAGAGCUAGCUCAGGAUGGGUGCCCGGGAUUUAUUUGCAAGGAAAAGAAAUACAUGGUGUCACACUACCCUCCUCAUUACCCGGAUGAGGACCUUGAGGCCCAGCGAGGACAGUGGAAAUUGGCUCAGGCUGAGAAGGAGCCCUCCGUCUCUCUCACUCCCAAUGGAGGAGCUGCCUUCCUCCAGGAGAUUGGGAGAGGUCCCUGCAGGUGUUUGAGCAAAAACAAGACAAAG
rnacentral:lncRNA from 1 species